rnacentral:rRNA from 1 species
AGCAGCCGCGGUAAUUCCAGCUCCAAUAGCGUAUAUUAAAGUUGUUGCAGUUAAAAAGCUCGUAGUUGAAUUUCGGGAUCAGUAGGUUGGUCAUGCCUCUGGUAUGUACUGGCCUCACUGGUUCCUCCUUCCUGAUGAACCGUAAUGCCAUUAAUUUGGUGUUGCGGGGAAACUGGACUGUUACUUUGAAAAAUUAGAGUGUUUAAAGCAGGCUAACGCUUGAAUACAUUAGCAUGGAAUAAUGAAAUAGGACGAUCGAUCCUAUUUUGUUGGUUUCUAGGAUUGACGUAAUGAUUAAUAGGGAUAGUUGGGGGCAUUAGUAUUCAAUUGUCAGAGGUGAAAUUCUUGGAUUUAUUGAAGACUAACUACUGCGAAAGCAUUUGCCAAGGAUGUUUUCAUUAAUCAAGAACGAAAGUUAGGGGAUCGAAGACGAUCAGAUACCGUCGUAGU